rnacentral:rRNA from 1 species
GAUCAAGUUACUAAGGGCAUAUGGUGGAUGCCUUGGCACGAGUAGGCGAUGAAGGACGUGGUAAGCUGCGAUAAGCUUCGUCUAGGCGCAAACAGCCUGUAAGACGGAGAUCUCCGAAUGGGGCAACCCAUCCCGGGUCAUACUGGGAUAUCGGCCGCUGAAUACAUAGGCGGUCGAAGCGAACGAAGGGAACUGAAACAUCUUAGUACCUUCAGGAAUAGAAAGUAAUAACGAUUCCCUGAGUAGCGGUGAGCGAAAGGGGAACAGCCCAAACCGAUUGGCGCGCUAAAGCCUGCAUGCGUUGCGCUGUCGGUGUUGUGGGAAUUGAAUGUGGCUCGAAUGCAGUUGGGCCGGGAAGUUACAAACUGUCUGUCUAGCUGAAUAAUCUGGAACGUUUAGCGAUACAGGGUGACAGCCCCGUAAGCGAAAGGCUGACAGCUUCCUAGUUUGAUCUCCCAAGUAUCACCGGUUAAGUGGAGUCCGGUGUGAAUCCGCCUGGACCAUCAGGUAAGGCUAAAUACUAACUCGUGACCGAUAGUGAACUAGUACCGUGAGGGAAAGGUGAAAAGAACCCCGGGAGGGGAGUUAAAAGAACCUGAAACCGUAUGCCUACAAGCUGUCGGAGGAAUGGUUUUUCUUCGGAGAAACCGGACUGACGGCGUGCCUAUUGAAUAAUGAUCCGACGACUUACUUCUCUGUCGCGAGGAUAAGCCAAACACUGGUGAAUCCGUAGCGAAAGCGAGUCUGAAUAGGGCGAUUAGUGGCAGGGAGUAGACCCGAAACCAGGUGAUCUAUGCAUGGCCAGGAUGAACUCUCGGUAAAACGAGAUGGAGGUCCGAACACACCAACGUUGAAGAGUUGGGUGAUGAGCUGUGCAUAGGGGUGAAAGGCCAAUCAAACCUGGAAAUAGCUGGUUCUCCUCGAAAUAGCUUUAGGGCUAGCCUCAGGCUAUAGUGUGAUGGAGGUAGAGCACUGAAUGGGUUAGGGGCCCCACAAGGUUACCAACCCCAAUCAAACUCCGAAUGCCAUCACAUGUUCCCUGGGAGUCAGGCAGUGGGGGAUAAGCUUCAUUGCCGAGAGGGAAACAACCCAGACCGCCAGCUAAGGUCCCCAAGUCAUGCUAAGUGUAAAAGGAAGUGAGAUCACUAAAACAGCUAGGAUGUUGGCUUAGAAGCAGCCAUCAUUUAAAGAAAGCGUAAUAGCUCACUAGUCUAGUGCUCUUGCGCCGAAAAUGUACGGGACUAUGCAUGGCACCGAAGCUGCGGACUUCGACUUCGGUCGAAGUGGUAGAGGAGCAUUCUGUGCUGGCUGAAGGUUGGUCGUGAGACCGGCUGGACGGCACAGAAGAGAUUAUGUCGGAACGAGUAGCGAUAAGGCGGGUGAGAAUCCCGCCCACCGAAAACCUAAGGUUUCCUGGGGAAGGGUCGUCCGCCCAGGGUUAGUCGGUUCCUAAGCCGAGGUCGAAAGGCGUAGGCGAUGGAAAACAGGUUAAAUAUUCCUGUACCGGCGGAGACGCGUUAUACCUAUGGGGUGACGCAGGAGUGACGGUCAGUCUCGUGAUGGUUUACGAGAUCUAAGCCUGUAGGUGGGAAGCGCAGGUAAAUCCACGCUUCUAACACCGAGAGGUGAUGGGGAUGGCUUCGGCCUAUAAACUGACCUUAAUCAGACUGCCAAGAAAAACCUCUAUGGAAGUUUCUCUGUCGACCGUACCGCAAACCGCCACAGGUAGGUGAGGAGAAUAUCCUAAGGUGCGCGAGCUAACCCACGUUAAGGAACUAGGCAAAAUUACCCCGUAACUUCGGGAGAAGGGGUGCCGCUAGUAUGUGAACUCACUCGCUGAGCGAGCUGAACGCGGCCACAGAGAAGAGGCGCUGAUGACUGUUUACUAAAAACACAUGUCUCUGCAAAGUCUCAUAAGACGACGUAUAGGGACUGAUACCUGCCCGGUGCUGGAAGGUUAAGAGGAGAGGUCAUUCCGUUCGCGGGAGAAGCUUUGAAUCGAAGCCCCAGUAAACGGCGGCCGUAACUAUAACGGUCCUAAGGUAGCGAAAUUCCUUGUCGGGUAAGUUCCGACCUGCACGAAUGGUAUAACAAUUGGCGCACUGUCUCAACGUGGGACUCGGUGAAACUGUAGCAGCGGUGAAGAUGCCGCUUACCCGUAUCGGGACGGAAAGACCCCGUGAACCUUUACUAUAACUUGGCAUUGAUAUUUGGUAUAGCACGUGUAGGAUAGGUGGGAGGCUAUGAAGCUGGCUCGCUAGAGUCGGUGGAGCCACCGUUGAAAUACCACCCUUGUUCUACUGGAUAUCUAACUUAAGACCUUGAAUCAGGUCAAAGAACAGUGCCAGGCGGGUAGUUUAACUGGGGCGGUUGCCUCCCAAACUGUAACGGAGGCGUGCAAAGGUUCCCUCAAGCCGCGUGGUAAUCGGCUGUAGAGUGCAAAGAUAUAAGGGAGCUUAACUGCGAGACCUACAAGUCGAGCAGAUGCGAAAGCAGGUCUUAGUGACCCGGUGGUUGCGAAUGGAAGCGCCAUCGCUCAACGGAUAAAAGGUACUCCGGGGAUAACAGGCUUAUCUCCUCCGAGAGUCCAUAUCGACGAGGAGGUUUGGCACCUCGAUGUCGGCUCAUCGCAUCCUGGGGCUGGAGAAGGUCCCAAGGGUUUGGCUGUUCGCCAAUUAAAGCGGUACGUGAGCUGGGUUUAGAACGUCGUGAGACAGUUCGGUCCCUAUCUGAUACGGGCGUAGGAUACUUGAGGGGAGCUGACCUUAGUACGAGAGGACCAGGUUGGACCGACCGCCGGUGCACCUGUUGUCACGCCAGUGGCAUAGCAGGGUAGCUGCGUCGGGAAGGGAUAAGCGCUGAAAGCAUAUAAGCGCCAAGCCCACCCCAAGAUUAGGUAUCCCAUCGCGUAAGCGAUCUGAAGGCUCCUGGAAGAACACCAGGUUGAUAGGUCACAGAUGUAAGCACCGUAAGGUGUUGAGUCGAGUGAUACUAAUAAGCCGUGAGGCUUGAUCGAAUAA